rnacentral:rRNA from 1 species
UAGGGAAUCUUCGGCAAUGGACGAAAGUCUGACCGAGCAACGCCGCGUGAGUGAAGAAGGUUUUCGGAUCGUAAAACUCUGUUGUUAGUGAAGAACAAGGACGUUAGUAACUGAACGUCACCUGACGGUAUCUAACCAGAAAGCCACGGCUAAAUACGUGCCAGCAGCCGCGGUAAUACGUAGGUGGCAAGCGUUGUCCGGAUUUAUUGGGCGUAAAGCGAGCGCAGGCGGUUUCUUAAGUCUGAUGUGAACGCCCCCGGCUCAACCGAGGAGGGUCAUUGGAAACUGGUAGACUUGAGUGCAGAAUAGGAGAGUGUAAUUCCAUGUGUAGCGGUGAAAUGCGUAGUUAUAUGGAGGAACACCAGUGGCGAAGGCGGCUCUCUGGUCUGUAACUGACGCUGAGGCUCGAAAGCGUGGGGAGCAAACAGG